ACGUAGGGUGCGAGCGUUAAUCGGAAUUACUGGGCGUAAAGCGUGCGCAGGCGGUUCGCUAAGACAGGUGUGAAAUCCCCGGGCUUAACCUGGGAAUGGCGCUUGUUACUGGCAGGCUAGAGUGUGGCAGAGGGGGGUGGAAUUCCUCGUGUAGCAGUGAAAUGCGUAGAGAUGAGGAGGAACAUCGGUGGCGAAGGCAACCGCCUGGGCCGAUACUGACGCUGAUGCACGAAAGCGUGGGGAGCAAACAG
rnacentral:rRNA from 1 species